CCUACGGGUGGCAGCAGUGGGGGAUAUUGCACAAUGGAGGAAACUCUGAUGCAGCGACGCCGCGUGAGGGAAGACGGUCUUCGGAUUGUAAACCUCUGUCUUUGGGGAAGAAAAUGACGGUACCCAAAGAGGAAGCUCUGGCUAACUAGGUGCCAGCAGCGGCGGUAAUACGUAGGGAGCGAGCGUUGUCCGGAUUUACUGGGUGUGAAGGGAGCGUAGGCGGGCGAGAAAGUUGAAGGUUAAAUUUACCGGGGAAACUGGUAGCUGCGUUCAAAACUGGUAGUCUUGAGUGAAGUAGAGGGAGGCGGAAUUCGUGGUGGAGCGGGGAGAUGCUGAGAUAUAAGGAGGAA
rnacentral:rRNA from 1 species